UUCUAGCCCCGGGUGAAGCGGCAUCCCCGCCUCGGCGGGAUAUAGCGGAACACGGGACUGAUU
rnacentral:misc_RNA from 1 species